rnacentral:rRNA from 1 species
UACGGAGGGUGCAAGCGUUAUUCGGAUUUACUGGGCGUAAAGCGCGUGUAGGCUGUUUAGUAAGUUUGGUGUGAAAGUCCACGACUCAAUCGUGGAAGUGCACUGAAUACUGUUAGACUAGAGUAUAGGAGAGGAGAACGGAAUUCCUGGUGUAAAGGUUAAAUUUGUAGAUAUCAGGAGGAACAACAGUGGCGAGGGCGGUUCUCUGGACUAUUACUGACGCUGAGACGCGAAAGUGUGGGGAGCAAAC